ACUGUCAUCUUUACAGAGGGACCCCUUCAGUGGAGCAUUCAUUUUGGAGAUGGAAAGCCCAAAUCAACGGAGUAACAACUCAGAGGAUCUUCGAACCAAACUUCAACACACAGGAAGAGUGGAUAGAAUAUUUUAAGGUACCCCUUUGAAGCAUUUAUUUGGGAGAUUUCCAAGCUUAAACGAAGUAACAGCAUGGAGUUUGUUCCACUACGAUUCCACAAAUUUUCUAAGCCGUCACAGAUGACAGCGGGAGGAAAGGACGGUUGUGAGACUCUUCUCCCAGUAGCUGCCUUUAGGAGAGACAAGAUGAAGCUGGCUGCCCUGACAUGGGAAUUUUGGGGGUUUCCUGUGGCCCUUUAAAUAUUUCAGUGAUGGGGUCUGAUGGGGCUUUCACUAAAUGGGCACUGUCUGUUGACUGUUCAGUGUACCAUUACAUAUUUAUCAUAUCUACUCUGACAUUGGCUGUUUCUAAAUCUCAUUAUUUUACUUGAUAACUAAACUCAAAGUAGGUCUCAUUGGAAAUGCAUGUUUUGAAUACAUGUCACAGAUGUAAAGUCUAAACAGAAUAAAACCUGAUAUACUGCG